rnacentral:rRNA from 1 species
CUGCUCAAUGAUUAAAAUAUUAAAUAGCUGCAGUAUAUUGACUGUACAAAGGUAGCAUAAUCAAUUGUUUUUUAAUUGAAAACUUGUAUGAAAGAUUGAAUGAAAUAUUAUCUGUUUCAUAAUAAAUUAUUGAAUUUAUAUUUUAGAUAAAAAUAUCUAAAUUUAAUUAUUAGACGAUAAGACCCUAUAGAAUUUUAUUAUUUUUAAUUAAUUAAAAUUAAAUUAAAUAAUUUAAUUGGGGGGAUAAAAAAAUUUUUAAUUUUUUUAAUAGGUUAACAAAUAUAAUUGGUAAAUUAUAGAAUAUUAAUUUAUAGAUAUUAGAUUAAAUUACCUUAGGGAUAACAGCAUAAUUUUUUUGGAAAGUUCAAAUUUAUAAAAAAGAUUAUGACCUCGAUGUUGAAUUA